rnacentral:rRNA from 1 species
AUACGUAGGUGACAAGCGUUAUCCGGAUUUACUGGGCGUAAAGGGCGUGUAGGCGGUCUUGCAAGUCAGAAGUGAAAUUCCUGAGCUCAACUCGGGCGCUGCUUCUGAAACUGCAGGACUUGAGUGCUGGAGGGGAUAGCGGAAUUCCUAGUGGAGCGGUAAAAUGCGCAGAUAUUAGGAAGAACACCGGUGGCGAAGGCGGCUAUCUGGACAGUGACUGACGCUGAGGCGCGAAAGCGUGGGGAGCAAACAGGAUUAGAUACCCUGGUAGUCCACACUGUAAACGAUGAAUGCUAGGUGUAGGGGGUAUCGACCCCUUCUGUGCCGCAGUCAACACAAUAAGCAUUCCGCCUGGGGAGUACGGCCGCAAGGUUGAAACUUAAAGGAAUUGACGGGG